UUGGCUUGUUCAAGUCAGCGUUCAGACCAUCUCCUGCAGUUUCAGGGGCACUGGGGUUCUGGAAG
ensembl:misc_RNA